rnacentral:rRNA from 1 species
GUGCCAGCAGCCGCGGUGAUACGGAGGGUGCAAGCGUUAAUCGGAAUAACUGGGCGUAAAGGGCAUGCAGGCGGUUCAUCAAGUAGGAUGUGAAAUCCCCGGGCUCAACCUGGGAACAGCAUACUAAACUGGUGGACUAGAGUAUUGCAGGGGGAGACGGAAUUCCAGGUGUAGCGGUGGAAUGCGUAGAUAUCUGGAAGAACACCAAAGGCGAAGGCAGUCUCCUGGGCAAAUACUGACGCUCAUAUGCGAAAGCGUGGGUAGCAAACAGGAUUAGAUACCCUGGUAGUCCACGCCGUAAACGAUGUCAAUUAGGAGCUUGGGGGUUCCGCAGCUAACGCAAUAAAUUGACCGCCUGGGGAGUACGGCCGCAAGGUUAAAACUCAAAUGAAUUGACGGGGGCCCGCACAAGCGGUGGAGCAUGUGGUUUAAUUCGACGCAACGCGAAGAACCUUACCUGAUCUUGACAUCCAGGUGCUGCAUGGCUGUCGUCAGCUCGUGUCGUGAGAUGUUGGGUUAAGUCCCGCAACGAGCGCAACCCUUGUCCUUUGUUGCAACUCAAAGGAGACUGCCAGUGACAAACUGGAGGAAGGCAGGGAUGACGUCAAGUCAUCAUGGCCCUUACGGUCAGGGCUAC